rnacentral:rRNA from 1 species
UACGGAGGAUGCAAGCGUUAUCCGGAAUGAUUGGGCGUAAAGCGUGCGUAGACGGUUAUUUAAGUCGGGUGUGAAAGCCCCGGGCUCAACCUGGGAAUUGCAUUCGAGACUGAAUAGCUAGGGUACGGUAGAGGGAAGCGGAAUUUCCGGUGUAGCGGUGAAAUGCGUAGAUAUCGGAAGGAACAUCAGUGGCGAAAGCGGCUUCCUGGACCAGUACCGACGUUCAGGCACGAAAGCGUGGGGAGCAAACAGG